AGAAAGUUACAGUGGAUCUUGAUUUUGGAGGAGGUGAAGUCCAGUCUAAAAGAGUCCCCUCAAGUAUCAUCACCAUGGUACAGUGUCUGUGAAGAUAGUGAAGCAGACCCAGCAUUCACAAAAAAGAGAGGUCCCAUAAAGAGAAGAUCCUGGAGCAAACAGGAAGUACAUGCUGUGGUGAAAGCUGAACCAUUGGCUCUAAAAACCAGAGAUUGGUCAGCUUUGGAUUUUUAUAUUAAAAACUGAAUCUCUACUCUGAAUAACACUUUCAUAGUAACUGCACACUAUACAUUAUUAGUUUAGCACUAACUCUACAUAAAUAGACUUUAGGAAGCAGUUUAUAAAUACAGCUUCAAACGCUGUAUUCUUGACUUGACUAAAUUGUAUUUUCAUGCUUUGU
ensembl:processed_transcript